rnacentral:misc_RNA from 1 species
GAUGAAGAACGUAGCGAAAUGCGAUAAGUAAUGUGAAUUGCAGAAUUCAGUGAAUCAUCGAAUCUUUGAACGCACAUUGCGCCCGCCAGUACUCUGGCGGGCAUGCCUGUCCGAGCGUCAUUUCAACCCUCGAACCCCUCCGGGGGGUCGGCGUUGGGGAUCGGCCCUCCGUUCGCGGGGGCCGUCUCCGAAAUGCAGUGGCGGUCUCGCCGCAGCCUCCCCUGCGCAGUAGCUUGCACACUCGCACCGGGAGCGCGGCGCGUCCACAGCCAUUAAACACCCAACCUUCUGGAAUGUUGACCUCGGAUCAGGUAGGAAUACCCGCUGAACUUAAGCAUAUCAAUAAGCGGAGGA